UGGGGAAUAUUGGACAAUGGAGGAAACUCUGAUCCAGCAAUUCUGUGUGUGUGAAGAAGGUUUUAGGACUGUAAAACACUUUUAGUAGGGAAGAAAAAAAUGACGGUACCUACAGAAGAAGCAACGGCUAAAUACGUGCCAGCAGCCGCGGUAAUACGUAUGUUGCGAGCGUUAUCCGGAAUUAUUGGUCUUAAAGGGCAUCUAGGCGGUAAGACAAGUUGAAGGUGAAAACCUGUGGCUCAACCAUAGGCUUGCCUACAAAACUGUUGAACUAGAGUACUGGAAAGGUGGGUGAAACUACACGGGUAGAGGUGAAAUUCGUAGAUAUGUGUAGGAAUGCCGAUGAUGAAGAUAACUCACUGGACAGAAACAGACGCUGAAGUGCGAAAACUAGGGGAGCAAACAGG
rnacentral:rRNA from 1 species